GGGCCAGUAGAUCAACUCGGUAGAUCGCUUCCUUGGCGACUUCGGACAAAUUGGAAGAGGCUGGGGGUUCAAAUCCCUCCUGGUCCA
rnacentral:tRNA from 1 species